rnacentral:rRNA from 1 species
GACGAACGCUGGCGGCGUGCUUAACACAUGCAAGUCGAACGGAAAGGCCCUGCUUUUGUGGGGUUCUCGAGUGGCGAAGGGGUGAGUAACAGGUGAGUAACCUGCCCUUGACUUUGGGGUAACUUCAGGUAACUGGGCCUAAUACCGGAUAGGAGCUCCUGCUGCAUGGUGGGGGUUGGAAAUUUUCGGCGGUUGGGGAUGGACUCGCGGCUUAUCAGCUUGUUGGUGGGGUAGUGGCUUACCCAGGCUUUGACGGGUAGCCGGCCUGAGAGGGUGACCGGCAACAUUGGGACUGAGAUACGGCCCAGACUCCUAUGGGAGGCAGCAGUGGGGAAUAUUGCACAAUGGGCGGAAGCCUGAUGCAGCAACGCCGCGUGCGGGAUGACGGCCUUCGGGUUGUAAACCGCUUUCGCCUGUGACGAAGCGUGAGUGACGGUAAUGGGUAAAGAAGCACCGGCUAACUACGUG